UACGUAGGUGGCAAGCGUUGUCCGGAUUUACUGGGCGUAAAGAGCGCGCAGGCGGUCGGACAAGUCGCGUGUGAAAGCCCCCGGCUCAACUGGGGAGGGUCACGCGAUACUGUUCGACUCGAAGGCAGGAGAGGGAAGUGGAAUUCCCGGUGUAGUGGUGAAAUUCGUAGAUAUUCGCAAGAACACCAGUGGCGAAGGCGGCUCACUGGCCCGGUACUGACGCUGAGGUGCGAAAGCGUGGGGAGCAAACAGG
rnacentral:rRNA from 1 species